UACGUAGGGGGCAAGCGUUGUCCGGAUUUAUUGGGCGUAAAGAGCGUGUAGGCGGCCAUGUAGGUCCGUUGUGAAAACUCGAGGCUCAACCUCGAGACGCCGAUGGAAACCAUGUGGCUAGAGUCCGGAAGAGGAGAGUGGAAUUCCUGGUGUAGCGGUGAAAUGCGCAGAUAUCAGGAAGAACACCCGUGGCGAAGGCGGUUCUCUGGGCAUGUCCUGACGCUGAGGAGCGAAAGUGUGGGGAGCGAACAGG
rnacentral:rRNA from 1 species